GAGGCUUCUCGAAGUUAAGAAAUCUGUCAAGGUUCCUGAGCUGGGAAGGGACAGAGCCGUAUUCAGAAUGAGAUGUCUGGCUCCAGAGCUCAUGUGUGACAUCACGACUCUAAGACAGAUGUUCUCUUCACUUGCCACUGCUUCUCCUGUCUAAGAUAUAUAUCUAUAUGUAUAUAGAUUAUCUAUAAAAAGUAUUCAGUUGACUUUCAAUCAGCCAGAAGAAGAAAUAGAGGAAGCUGGUAUGCUUUGGGUCCAUGAUGGAAUUGAAAGACUUCUGAGGCCAUUGCCCUGAAGAUUCCUGGUGCAGUGACAGAGGGCCUGCAGGAUCGAAGAGCUGUGGAAUGAAGAUGGGAAUAUAGUUCCUUUUAAAAUAUGUUGAUGGCUUUCAGCACCGAGAAUAAAACAAAAUGUGACAGCAG